CCUACGGGAGGCAGCAGUGGGGAAUAUUGCACAAUGGGGGAAACCCUGAUGCAGCGACGCAGCGUGAGUGAAGAAGUAAUUCGGUAUGUAAAGCUCUAUCAGCAGGGAAGAAAAUGACGGUACCUGAGUAAGAAGCCCCGGCUAACUACGUGCCAGCAGCCGCGGUAAUACGUAGGGGGCAAGCGUUAUCCGGAUUUACUGGGUGUAAAGGGAGCGUAGACGGCAGUGCAAGUCUGGAGUGAAAGGCGGGGGCUCAACCCCCGGACUGCUCUGGAAACUGUACGGCUGGAGUGCAGGAGAGGUUAGUGGAAUUCCUAGUGUAGCGGUGAAAUGCGUAGAUAUUAGGAGGAACACCAGUGGCGAAGGCGGCUUACUGGACUGUAACUGACGUUGAGGCUCGAAAGCGUGGGGAGCAAACAGGAUUAGAUACCCCAGUAGUC
rnacentral:rRNA from 1 species